CACCGCUAAGUGCGGCAGCACUACAAAUUUGAUGAAGCACCUGAUCAUGCACGGCAUCAAUCUACGAGCAGAAAGUUGCUUGAAGAGUGGACCACAGCCAUCCACAGCCCUACUGAGGAUGUAACGCAGCGAGAGGCUGAUUUAAAAUCUCCACCACCCGCCUCCGGUGCGUCCACGUGUAUAGCGGGUACUGGCGGCACUGUGUUGGGGGCUUCAACAGGUCUUCCAGAACAUGCUGUCAUUCUGGAUGUGAAGAACAGGUAGAACAGCCUGUUCCUGAUGGUGGAGUGUUUUUCUGGAGCAGUUUCCUGCCAUUCAGGCCCCUCGGUUAAAAAAACAAGGGAGCGAGACAGACUGGACAGACUUUCUGAUGAAGACUGCAGAAAAGCUGAACAGUUUGUCAGACUCAUGAAGAUCCUCUAUACUUCAACCAUCUACAUCUCUGCUGAAAGGAGUCCAACUCUGGGCCAGAUUCUGCCCAUUUUGGGGAAACUACAGCACCACUUUGCAGUAACUGAUGAGGACUGCCCCUUUACAGAUCAUCAAGAACAAUAUAUGGGUUGACAAAACGAUACAAAGAUGAGAGCAUCAGGCAGUUCUUGGAGGAGGGCACAGCCUUAGACCCAAGAUUUAAGAUGAAAGUGGCUGAUGAAGUGAGGACCAGACUAGAGGAGAUGAGUAGGACCUCACAACAGGUGUGAAAUUGUAUUCUGAGUUUGUAUGGCCAUCUAUUGAAUACAGAAUAAAAGGUAAAUGGCCCAGCAGAUGGAGCAGGACCUUGAAGAGGCAGUUGUUGGC